CAAACAGUUGUGUCACGCUACGACGCACACUAUAAUCAAUGCUAUGACAAUAAUCUAAUAACUACACAGCACAAGUGCAAAAACUGUGACCAUAUAUUCUUCAAGGUCUGCACAUAAACAAAGUUAUUGUUAAAUAAUGUUUUACUUUGAUUCUAAAUGUAGUAAUCUGCACUAGGUUGAGGUAAUUCUAGGAAGCUAUCAAGUCGGGUCGUGUGGAUGCGAUCGUGCGCGCCUUCGCUCGGCCCGAGGGCGCGACCCUUUAUGCCCUGACGGUUUGUAUAGCGGAGUCGUCAUGCCACUUCCUAUAUCUCCAACGCCAUUAGAUAAUCUAUAGUAUGCAAAAAAUAUCGCUUCUAAUGUGUCCACAUACCUAAGUGUUUUCCUACACGCCCACUUUACGACACAAUAUUAUAUAGGUACUUACGUAAGUAACAUACUACGAUAGCACAUAGUGCCUGUUCCAGACUUAGACCCUCUUAUUAUAAAACGCGGUAUCAAAUAAGUAUCGGCUUUUGUACUACCUUUAAUCCAGCUGUAAGUACGACCUUGAAAAAACGUUAUUACAAAACGCAGUUUAUCGCAAGUCCUAUUACUAUCUGUAGUACAAAAGAUAAACCAUCGAGCCCCCUAGUUUAACUGCAGUACUUAGUCGACAAACGUCAAAUUCCGACAUUAUUUACUUUUGAGGUUAUUUGUUUUGUGAUGAAAAAAACGAAAGUGGAUAUAAAUAUGUGUGAUUUGGAAUACUUGGAUGUGUUAGAAUACUAUUGAGAGUGUCCGGGGACCCAACAGUGUGCGUCAUCGACAAAAUCUCUUCAAAUUAUCUGACGACAAUUUUCGAUAUAAAUAUCGAUUUAUGUUUUUCGAAAUAAUAGUCAAUUGAAUGCAUGAUGAUAAUCCAUGAUGAUCCUAAUGAUGCUCAACUGGGCUCGCCAUAAGAUUCAAGACUAAUUUGGCGUUUUGCACGCCGUAUCUUUGCCAGUAAUAUGCAAUGUUUGUAAAAGACUGGAAGCUUGCUAAAAUGUAGGUACAAAAAUGCCAAGAUGAGCAAGGGAACAAGAUUGUGUGAUGAAGAACAGUGUCCAACAUGUAUCAGUGCGUUUGACUGUAUAAAUAGACAUCGGAAUAAAAUAUAAUUUUGUACUUU